AAACAAGGUCUCUGAGUCUGGGUGUAACACGUUUCUGCAGGCUGGUCUUCUGGUCUUUGUACAAAGCUGACUGUUUAUUCCUCCUGCUGCGCGCACACUAGUGUCACUUUGUAACCGAAAACUGUGAAACUCGCGUCCUGGCGCAGCUUUUCUGUGUUAAUAUGAAAUUCACGCUGCUUUGAAUCGACUUUCUGAUCUGAAUCUGUGUUUGUCACAACACAAACAGUACAUGUAGUUACUAGUUUGGAGCCGAGUUCGAUGCCACAUGAAUUAAUUCAUUAUUAGAGGAAACAACCUGUUGCUCAUCCAGACGUGGUGCGUGUGAGGGGAAAGUCAGUGGGGUUCAAACUAAAACUGAGAGUUCCUGAAAAGCCAGGCGGGGUUUCAAAGCUGAGAUGGAGGAAACCAGUCUGACCAGAAGAGUCCACUAAACCAACUGGUGUGAGAUGAAUCAAACUCCACACACAGGACAAAGAAAUGUGUUGUGUGUUUCUCAGCUGGUCAGAGUGAAACUUCUUCCAUCUUUACUUCUGCUGCUUUAUAACCUGCAUUUUAUCCAAGUAUUGUAGUGAAAUAUCACACACACAGCCUGUCACCACUAAUGAGGGGAUUUCUAAGAGUUGGCCCAGGACGCAUGAAUGUGCUCAUCGUGACUUUGGUCCUAAACACAACACGCCCAUUCUGCAGUUCCUCUGUCUGAGACUUGUCACAUCGUGACACGGACGAGUCAAAGUACAGUCCUGAUGUGCAUCUCUGCACAACUGGGCUUUACACACUUGUGAACAUUAAACCAAAAUGUAGGAUAUUUCUAUAUUUAUCUGCACUGGUUUCUGUGUCGGACACUGUGAUCUGCUCUGCUGAGGAACUAUGAUUGUACAGGACCAGAUGAUCUGCUGCAUCCUGAUGCUCAGCAGCCUGGUCUCCUCUGUCUGGGGAACAUGUGUAGUGAAAGUGACACAGAGCUCCUAUCAGGCAGAGGAGAACGAAGACGUCACACUGGAGUGGACGUUCACAACCACAGCUCACAGCUCCUCUAAGUCUC